AAAUUAUUUUUCUAAUUUUGUGUUAAAUUGCCUUAUUAUUUUUAGUUAGAAAACUAAUAACCUUUUAUGGAGCAAAAAUAAACGUUGUAAUGUAGAAAUUGGCCUCUAAAUAAAAGUCUGCAGAGUUGACCGAUAUGUUGAUGAUUUAUGGGGAAACUCGAAAAAAUGAAUGGCAGCUCGUUUAUACCAACAAAGAUUUCGCAAUCGUCGAAUUCCACAUCAUUGUACUCGUAUAUUUGUAUUUUAAGAAGGCUGAAAGUAACCGGAAACUUGUUAAUUGAAAGAAAUAAUGCUGGAAAGCAACGUACAACAAGGACUGUGCAUCUGGAAGAGAAAAUAUUAAAUAAUAUUAUUGAAAGGCCAUCUUUAAGUACUCGAACUGUCGGUCACGCUUUAAGAGUGGACCAUUCUACUGUUUUGAAAGAACAAGUGUUACACCCAUACAAAUUGGCCACUGUUCAAGCAUUAGAACCUAGAGAUUUUCAGGUGCGUAUGGAAUUUUCAAACUGGUAUUUACAAAAGUGUCGGGAAAAUCGAAAUUUUCCUAAAUAUGUGUUGUAUAACGACAAGGAUAGAUUUACUAGGGAAGGAAUUUUCAACUGUAGAAAUAGUCACGUUUGGGAUGAAGAAAAUCCGCACUUUGUUUGUGAAAAGGGACAUGACUGGAGAUUGCUUAAUCGAGCCUUACAUUUUACCAAAUAAAUUAAAUGGAGCAAUUUAUAUGCGCUUUCUGGAAGAAAUGUUGGAUGAUUUGUUGGAGAAUGUAUCGUUAAAUAUUAGACAACACAUAUGGUUUCAACACGAUGAGGCAACUGUUCUUUUUGCUGCAGCGGCAAGAAAUUAUUUAAAUAGAUAUCUCAGAGAAAAAUGGAUUGGUCGAGGUGGACCCAAUUGUUGGCCUCUAAGAUUACCUGACUUAAAUCCUGUCGAUUUUUUAUAUGAGGCUAUAUAAAGUCCUUAGUGUACGAAACAAUCAUCGAGUAUGAUAGCUAGAAUUCAAGCUGCGGCAGAAAUCAUCAAUUCAAUCCAUAUUCAUUCUCAAAGACACGUUUUUCAAGAACAAAACGGGGUAAUAAGUGUAUUGAAGUGUAUUUGAUUAUGAAUAAUUUUUAUUUGUUUUCAACUACUUACGAUUAAUCAUAUUUCGAAAUUAAACGAAUAAUUUAUCAA